UGUCCCUCAGUCAUCGCUUUUCAUCUACCCCAAUCUUGGAGAAUAAUUACCAGUCUCAGUCCCAUUUUACAGAUCGGGAAACUGAAGCUCAGAGAGGUUGAGUAACUCGUCCAAGGCCACACAGCUAAUCGGCAUCCAAGGCAGGAUUCCAACUCAAAUGGUCUGACUCCAGCCCGUGCCCUCAGCCCCUAUGUGCUUCUGCCUGGACACAGAUGAGGAUGCUGAAGCUCAGAGAGAGGAAACGACAUCCCCAAGGCCGGCCAGCUGAUGCAGAAACCGUGGCCCAGAGAGGUUAAGUGAUUCGCCAAAGGUCACACAGUGAGAAGGACCACCCCCCCAGAU